rnacentral:rRNA from 1 species
AUUGAACGCUGGCGGCGUGCUUAACACAUGCAAGUCGAACGUGAAAGUCCUUCGGGGCGAGUAAAGUGGCGCACGGGUGAGUAACGCAUGGAUAAUCUACCCUUAAGAUGGGGAUAACGGCUGGAAAAGGUCGCUAAUACCGAAUACGCUCCCGAUUCUACCGUUGGGGGGAAAGAUGGCCUAUGCUUGCAAGACAUCGAUUAAGGAUGCUUCCGCGUCCCAUUAGCUAGUUGGCGGGGUAACGGCCCACCAAGGCGACGAUGGGUAGCCGGUCUGAGAGGAUGACCGGCCACACUGGAACUGGAACACGGCCCAGACUCCUACGGGAGGCAGCAGUGGGGAAUAUUGCGCAAUGGGCGAAAGCCUGACGCAGCGACGCCGCGUGAGGGAUGAAGGUUCUCGGAUCGUAAACCUCUGUCAGGGGGGAAGAAACCCCCUCGUGUGAAUAAUGCGAGGGCUUGACGGUACCCCCAAAGGAAGCACCGGCUAACUCCGUGCCAGCCGCCGCGGUAA